AGAGUUUGAUCAUGGCUCAGGAUGAACGCUAGCUACAGGCUUAACACAUGCAAGUCGAGGGGCAGCAUGUUGGUUGCUUGCAACCAACGAUGGCGACCGGCGCACGGGUGAGUAACGCGUAUCCAACCUACCCUUGUCCAUCGGAUAACCCGUCGAAAGGCGGCCUAACACGAUAUGCGGUUCACAGCAGGCAUCUAACGUGAACGAAAUGUGAAGGAGAAGGAUGGGGAUGCGUCUGAUUAGCUUGUUGGCGGGGUAACGGCCCACCAAGGCUACGAUCAGGUAGGGUUCUGAGAGGAACGGUCCCCCANAUUGGAACUGAGACACGGUCCAAACUCCGUAACGGGAGGCA
rnacentral:rRNA from 1 species